rnacentral:rRNA from 1 species
GGUUAAGCGACUAAGCGUACACGGUGGAUGCCCUGGCAGUCAGAGGCGAUGAAGGACGUGCUAAUCUGCGAUAAGCGUCGGUGAGGUGAUAUGAACCGUUAUAACCGGCGAUUUCCGAAUGGGGAAACCCAGUGUGUUUCGACACACUAUCAUUAACUGAAUCCAUAGGUUAAUGAGGCGAACCGGGGGAACUGAAACAUCUAAGUACCCCGAGGAAAAGAAAUCAACCGAGAUUCCCCCAGUAGCGGCGAGCGAACGGGGAGGAGCCCAGAGCCUGAAUCAGUGUGUGUGUUAGUGGAAGCGUCUGGAAAGGCGCGCGAUACAGGGUGACAGCCCCGUACACAAAAAUGCACAUAUUGUGAGCUCGAUGAGUAGGGCGGGACACGUGGUAUCCUGUCUGAAUAUGGGGGGACCAUCCUCCAAGGCUAAAUACUCCUGACUGACCGAUAGUGAACCAGUACCGUGAGGGAAAGGCGAAAAGAACCCCGGCGAGGGGAGUGAAAAAGAACCUGAAACCGUGUACGUACAAGCAGUGGGAGCCUCUUAAUGGGGUGACUGCGUACCUUUUGUAUAAUGGGUCAGCGACUUAUAUUCUGUAGCAAGGUUAACCGAAUAGGGGAGCCGAAGGGAAACCGAGUCUUAACUGGGCGUUAAGUUGCAGGGUAUAGACCCGAAACCCGGUGAUCUAGCCAUGGGCAGGUUGAAGGUUGGGUAACACUAACUGGAGGACCGAACCGACUAAUGUUGAAAAAUUAGCGGAUGACUUGUGGCUGGGGGUGAAAGGCCAAUCAAACCGGGAGAUAGCUGGUUCUCCCCGAAAGCUAUUUAGGUAGCGCCUCGUGAAUUCAUCUCCGGGGGUAGAGCACUGUUUCGGCAAGGGGGUCAUCCCGACUUACCAACCCGAUGCAAACUGCGAAUACCGGAGAAUGUUAUCACGGGAGACACACGGCGGGUGCUAACGUCCGUCGUGAAGAGGGAAACAAC